rnacentral:rRNA from 1 species
CCCUUAGAUGUUCUGGGCCGCACGCGUGCUACACUGAGUGGAUCAGCGGGUCAGGUUGCGCGAAAGCGUUUCCUAAUCUUUAAAUCCGCUCGUGAUGGGGAUUGACGGUUGCAAUUUUCUGUCAUGAACGAGGAAUACCUUGUAAGCGCGGGUCAUCAUCCCGCGCUGAAUACGUCCCUGCCCUUUGUACACACCGCCCGUCGCUCCUACCGAUUGAGUGCUCAGGUGAAUAAUUCGGACUGCAGCAAUGUUUGGAUCCCGAACGUUGCAGCGGAAAGUUUAGUGAACCUUAUCACUUAGAGGAAGGAGAAGUCGUAACA